AUGAACGCUAGCUACAGGCUUAACACAUGCAAGUCGCAGGGUAACAUGAGGAAAGCUUGCUUUCCUUGAUGACGACUGGCGCACGGGUGAGUAACGCGUAUCCAACCUUCCCAUAACUACGGGAUAACCCGUUGAAAGACGGCCUAAUACCGUAUGAUAUCGUUUGCUGACAUCAAAUAACGAUUAAAGGUUUAGCGGUUAUGGAUGGGGAUGCGUCUGAUUAGCUUGUUGGCGGGGUAACGGCCCACCAAGGCGACGAUCAGUAGGGGUUCUGAGAGGAAGGUCCCCCACAUUGGAACUGAGACACGGUCCAAACUCCUACGGGAGGCAGCAGUGAGGAAUAUUGGUCAAUGGGCGAGAGCCUGAACCAGCCAAGUAGCGUGCAGGACGACGGCCCUAUGGGUUGUAAACUGCUUUUAUGUGGGGAGAAAGUGCGUGACGUGUCAUGCAUUGCAGGUACCACAUGAAUAAGGACCGGCUAAUUCCGUG
rnacentral:rRNA from 1 species